GAGCGCGUAGCUCAGUCGGUAGAGCAACUGACUUUUAAUCAGUAGGUCAUGGGUUCGAAUCCCAUCGCGCUCACCA
rnacentral:tRNA from 1 species